UUUUUUUUUUUUGCAGUGACGAAAGGAAGUUUGAAAAUCACUAAUUUGGGAGUUGGGGACAUAAUGGUGGUAGGGCGCUUGUCUGCGAUGCUUGAGGCCCUGGGUUCCAUCCCUAGCACCAGGGAGAAAAAAUCGAUUAUGGCAACUCUUUCAUUUCAGGAAGAACAAUAACCCACAGAAGCUGCAACAACCCAAACACCUAAAGUCCUUUAGCAUUGUCAUAAUGCCCCUUCCAGCACACAGUCAGUGUAUUUGCACAGGAUGAUGUCAUCAGCCAAGAGAUGAACUCAGCCUUCAGGACACGUUCACUGUAACUGCCCAAUGAUUCACAGUGAUCCUCCUGCCUCAGCCUCCCAAGUGCUUGGAUUACAGGUGUGUGCUACUAUGCUCCGCUUGCCCAAGUCUUGUACAAGAAGGAAAACAUCAUUUGAAUCCAUACUCCUGGCCAAUGAAAAGGACACCAUGUUCUCUCUCGUUUGGUUUAAGCUGUCCCUCCCUGGAGGUUUGGACACAGACUCCCCUUCAGACCACAUCUGGGAAAGCAACGGCCAGCGAGCACCUGGAAGUUGGUCACAGUCUCACGGCUGAGUCGGAGCCUGAAGGAGCCCAGGUCUUCUGGCUCCCACUGCUGCUGAAUAAACAAGGGUCUUUCCUCCACCAGAA